rnacentral:rRNA from 1 species
UACGGGGGAGCAAGCGUUGUUCGGAUUUACUGGGCGUAAAGGGCGCGUAGGCGGCCACCGCAAGUCGACUGUGAAAUCUCCGGGCUUAACUCGGAAGGUCAGCCGAUACUGCGGGGCUAGAGUGCAGAAGGGGCAACUGGAAUUCUCGGUGUAGCGGUGAAAUGCGUAGAUAUCGAGAGGAACACCUGCGGCGAAGGCGGGUUGCUGGGCUGACACUGACGCUGAUUGUGCGAAAGCUAGGGGAGCGAACGGG